rnacentral:tRNA from 2 species
GCGGUCAUGGCGGAAUGGCAGACGCGCCAGCUUGAGGGGCUGGUAGGGAAUCUCCCUGUGUGGGUUCAAAUCCCAUUGACCGCA